rnacentral:rRNA from 1 species
GGUUAAGCGACUAAGCGUACACGGUGGAUGCCCUGGCAGUCAGAGGCGAUGAAGGACGUGCUAAUCUGCGAUAAGCGUCGGUAAGGUGAUAUGAACCGUUAUAACCGGCGAUUUCCGAAUGGGGAAACCCAGUGUGUUUCGACACACUAUCAUUAACUGAAUCCAUAGGUUAAUGAGGCGAACCGGGGGAACUGAAACAUCUAAGUACCCCGAGGAAAAGAAAUCAACCGAGAUUCCCCCAGUAGCGGCGAGCGAACGGGGAGGAGCCCAGAGCCUGAAUCAGUGUGUGUGUUAGUGGAAGCGUCUGGAAAGGCGCGCGAUACAGGGUGACAGCCCCGUACACAAAAAUGCACAUGCUGUGAGCUCGAUGAGUAGGGCGGGACACGUGGUAUCCUGUCUGAAUAUGGGGGGACCAUCCUCCAAGGCUAAAUACUCCUGACUGACCGAUAGUGAACCAGUACCGUGAGGGAAAGGCGAAAAGAACCCCGGCGAGGGGAGUGAAAAAGAACCUGAAACCGUGUACGUACAAGCAGUGGGAGCACGCUUAGGCGUGUGACUGCGUACCUUUUGUAUAAUGGGUCAGCGACUUAUAUUCUGUAGCAAGGUUAACCGAAUAGGGGAGCCGAAGGGAAACCGAGUCUUAACUGGGCGUUAAGUUGCAGGGUAUAGACCCGAAACCCGGUGAUCUAGCCAUGGGCAGGUUGAAGGUUGGGUAACACUAACUGGAGGACCGAACCGACUAAUGUUGAAAAAUUAGCGGAUGACUUGUGGCUGGGGGUGAAAGGCCAAUCAAACCGGGAGAUAGCUGGUUCUCCCCGAAAGCUAUUUAGGUAGCGCCUCGUGAAUUCAUCUCCGGGGGUAGAGCACUGUUUCGGCAAGGGGGUCAUCCCGACUUACCAACCCGAUGCAAACUGCGAAUACCGGAGAAUGUUAUCACGGGAGACACACGGCGGGUGCUAACGUCCGUCGUGAAGAGGGAAACAACCCAGACCGCCAGCUAAGGUCCCAAAGUCAUGGUUAAGUGGGAAACGAUGUGGGAAGGCCCAGACAGCCAGGAUGUUGGCUUAGAAGCAGCCAUCAUUUAAAGAAAGCGUAAUAGCUCACUGGUCGAGUCGGCCUGCGCGGAAGAUGUAACGGGGCUAAACCAUGCACCGAAGCUGCGGCAGCGACACUGUGUGUUGUUGGGUAGGGGAGCGUUCUGUAAGCCUGUGAAGGUGUACUGUGAGG